CAGGGGCAGGGGGUUAGCCUGGGGCCAGCUGCUGCUGCCCAUGCUUACUUUGUGAAGUUUCUUGCAUAAAUGUCAUACUGUUUUUGCUUCAUGGAUGCAGUAUCUACUCAUCUGAGAAUGUCAGCAUUGGUUUUAAAAUGUUCAUCUCCUUGCAUAGUCUUUUUCUCCAACGUUGCUUUUCUCCUGUUCAUCGGUUUUGAUCUCUAAAGCUCACAUUUAGAGGCUUCUCUCAGAUGUCUGGUUAACCCUUGGUUGUCUGCUUAUGAUUAAGAGCAUAUUUGCAAGG